GCAUAUCAAUAAGCGGAGGAAAAGAAACCAACAGGGAUUGCCCUAGUAACGGCGAGUGAAGCGGCAACAGCUCAAAUUUGAAAUCUGGCGUCUUUGGCGUCCGAGUUGUAAUUUGCAGAGGGCGCUUUGGCAUUGGCAGCGGUCCAAGUUCCUUGGAACAGGACGUCACAGAGGGUGAGAAUCCCGUACGUGGUCGCUAGCCUUUACCGUGUAAAGCCCCUUCGACGAGUCGAGUUGUUUGGGAAUGCAGCUCUAAAUGGGAGGUAAAUUUCUUCUAAAGCUAAAUACUGGCCAGAGACCGAUAGCGCACAAGUAGAGUGAUCGAAAGAUGAAAAGCACUUUGGAAAGAGAGUUAAAAAGCACGUGAAAUUGUUGAAAGGGAAGCGCUUGCAGCCAGACUUGCCUGUAGUUGCUCAUCCGGGUUUUUACCCGGUGCACUCUUCUAUAGGCAGGCCAGCAUCAGUUUGGGCGGUUGGAUAAAGGUCUCUGUCAUGUACCUCUCUUCGGGGAGAACUUAUAGGGGAGACGACAUGCAACCAGCCUGGACUGAGGUCCGCGCAUCUGCUAGGAUGCUGGCGUAAUGGCUGUAAGCGGCCCGUCUUGAAACACGGACCAAGGAGUCUAACAUCUAUGCGAGUGUUUGGGUGUCAAGCCCGAGCGCGUAAUGAAAGUGAACGGAGGUGGGAACCUUUCGGGGUGCACCAUCGACCGAUCCUGAUGUCUUCGGAUGGAUUUGAGUAAGAGCAUAGCUGUUGGGACCCGAAAGAUGGUGAACUAUGCUUGAAUAGGGUGAAGCCAGAGGAAACUCUGGUGGAGGCUCGCAGCGGUUCUGACGUGCAAAUCGAUCGUCAAAUUUGGGCAUAGGGGCGAAAGACUAAUCGAACUAUCUAGUAGCUGGUUCCUGCCA
rnacentral:rRNA from 1 species